rnacentral:rRNA from 1 species
GGCUCAGAACGAACGCUGGCGGCGUGGAUAAGACAUGCAAGUCGAGCGCUGAUUACGGGGUAGCAAUAUUCCGUAGUUGGAGCGGCGCAAGGGUGCGUAACACGUGGGUAAUCUGCCAUGAAGUUUGGAAUAACUUGCUGAAAGGCGAGCUAAUACCGGAUGUGACCAUUGGAAGGCAUCUUCUGAUGUUUAAAGUUGGGGACCGCAAGGCCUGACGCUUCAUGAUGAACCCGCGGCCUAUCAGCUAGUUGGUGAGGUAACGGCUCACCAAGGCUAAGACGGGUAGCUGGUCUGAGAGGACGACCAGCCACACUGGAACUGAGACACGGUCCAGACACCUACGGGUGGCAGCAGUCGAGAAUUUUUCACAAUGGGCGAAAGCCUGAUGGAGCGACGCCGCGUGGGGGAUGAAUGGCUUCGGCCCGUAAACCCCUGUCAUUCGCGAACAAUGCCUGCGGCUUAAUACGUUGCAGGUUGAUAGUAGCGGAAGAGGAAGGGACGGCUAACUCUGUGCCAGCAGCCGCGGUAAUACAGAGGUCCCAAGCGUUGUUCGGAUUCACUGGGCGUAAAGGGUGCGUAGGUGGUCGGGUAAGUCUGAUGUGAAAUCUCCGAGCUUAACUCGGAAAUGGCAUUGGAUACUAUUCGGCUUGAGGGUUGGAGGGGGGACUGGAAUUCUCGGUGUAGCAGUGAAAUGCGUAGAUAUCGAGAGGAACACCAGUGGCGAAGGCGAGUCCCUGGACAACUCCUGACACUGAGGCACGAAAGCUAGGGGAGCAAACAGGAUUAGAUACCCUGGUAGUCCUAGCCGUAAACGGUGCACGUUUGCUGUAAAAGGAAUCGACCCCUUUUGUGGCGUAGCCAACGCGUUAAACGUGCCGCCUGGGAAGUACGGUCGCAAGAUAAAACUC